GCCGGUGUGGCUCAGUGGUUGAGUGUCUGCCUUUGAACCAGGAGAUCACGGUUCGAUUCCCGGUGGGGGCA
rfam:Myotis brandtii contig184634, whole genome shotgun sequence.